GCCUAACACAUGCAAGUCGAGCGGUAGAGAGGAGCUUGCUUCUCUUGAGAGCGGCGGACGGGUGAGUAAUGCCUAGGAAUCUGCCUAGUGGUGGGGGAUAACGUUCGGAAACGGACGCUAAUACCGCAUACGUCCUACGGGAGAAAGCGGGGGACCUUCGGGCCUCGCGCCAUUAGAUGAGCCUAGGUCGGAUUAGCUAGUUGGUGAGGUAACGGCUCACCAAGGCGACGAUCCGUAACUGGUCUGAGAGGAUGAUCAGUCACACUGGAACUGAGACACGGUCCAGACUCCUACGGGAGGCAGCAGUGGGGAAUAUUGGACAAUGGGCGAAAGCCUGAUCCAGCCAUGCCGCGUGUGUGAAGAAGGUCUUCGGAUUGUAAAGCACUUUAAGUUGGGAGGAAGGGUAGUAACUUAAUACGUUGCUAUUUUGACGUUACCGACAGAAUAAGCACCGGCGAAU
rnacentral:rRNA from 1 species